UACGGAGGGUGCAAGCGUUAUUCGGAUUUACUGGGUUUAAAGGGUGCGUAGGCGGCAAAGUAAGUCAGUAGUGAAAUCCCAUAGCUCAACUAUGGAACUGCUAUUGAUACUGCUUCGCUAGAGUAAAGUAGAGGUAAGCGGAAUUUAUGGUGUAGCGGUGAAAUGCUUAGAUAUCAUAAGGAACUCCGAUAGCGAAGGCAGCUUACUGGAAUUUUACUGACGCUGAGGCACGAAAGCGUGGGGAGCAAACAGG
rnacentral:rRNA from 1 species